rnacentral:misc_RNA from 1 species
AGAGAGAGAGAGAGAGAGGAUGAUAUUUUUAUAACGUUAGGAGAGGAGAGGAGAAGAGGGCAAUAUUGUAGGUUGAGUUGAGACUUCGAGAACGAGAAGAGAUGGGGUUUGACUUGAUAAUUAACGGAAACAAGUUGAUUGAGAAGGGUCGCCCCUGCAAUAGUCAAUGACGAAAAAGGUAUCCGCCUUAAAUCUUAGACUGUUGAAUCUAAGCCGAUGACCUUGUGGGCAUGAAGUUGUGCAA